UACGUAGGGUGCGAGCGUUGUCCGGAAUUAUUGGGCGUAAAGAGCUCGUAGGCGGUUUGUCGCGUCGACUGUGAAAACCUGGGGCUUAACUCUGGGCCUGCAGUCGAUACGGGCAGACUUGAGUUCGGUAGGGGAGACUGGAAUUCCUGGUGUAGCGGUGAAAUGCGUAGAUAUCGGGAGGAACACCUGAGGCGAAGGCGGGCUACUGGGCCGAUACUGACGCUGAUGCGCGAAAGCCAGGGGAGCGAACGGG
rnacentral:rRNA from 1 species